GGUUCAGAACGUCGUGAGACAGUUCGGUCCAUAUCCAUCGCGGGCGCAAGAUACAUGAGGGAGACUGCUCCUAGUACGAGAGGACCGGAGUGGACGGACCGCCGGUGAACCAGUCAUGCCGCCAGGUGUGCAGCUGGGCAGCUGCGUCCGGAAGGGAUAAACGCUGAAAGCAUCUAAGCGUGAAGCCCGUCCCGAGAUGAAGUAUCUCAUAGCAUAAGCUAGUAAGACACCUUGAAGAAGACAAGGUUGAUAGGGUAGGUGUGGAAGUGCCGUGAGGCAUGAAGCUAACUACUACUAAUAUGUCGAGGGCUUAACUUAG
rnacentral:rRNA from 1 species